AGCAGCCGCCACGGGAAUACGAAGGGGGCUAGCGUUGUUCGGAUUUACUGGGCGUAAAGGGUGCGUAGGCGGAUUGUUAAGUCAGGGGUGAAAUCCCGAGGCUCAACCUCGGGACUGCCUUUGAUACUGGCGAUCUUGAGUCCGGGAGAGGUGGGUGGAACUGCGAGUGUAGAGGUGAAAUUCGUAGAUAUUCGCAAGAACACCGGUGGCGAAGGCGGCUCACUGGCCCGGAACUGACGCUGAGGCACGAAAGCGUGGGGAGCAAACAGGAUUAGAUACCCCUGUAGUCCCUGUCUCUUAUAC
rnacentral:rRNA from 1 species